rnacentral:misc_RNA from 1 species
UCUUCAUCUUCUUCCUCUAAUUCUCUGCUACUAAUUUCCCCACUUCCACUUUUUAUCUUACAAAUCAUUUCCUCCGCCGUAAUUCCCCCUCUUUCAACCAUCUCCUGCAGCUCCUUCUUCGUCAUAACCACCUUUAUUCUAACCACUCCGCCACCGCCACCGCCGCCUUCUUUCUCCGCUUCCGCCAACCGGACCGCCUUCUUCCGCUUUUUCUGAUCUUCUGCUUCUGUGGGGAUCAGAAAAUAGAGGUGCCCUGAG